rnacentral:rRNA from 1 species
GAUCAUGGCUCAGGAUGAACGCUAGCUACAGGCUUAACACAUGCAAGUCGAGGGGCAGCAUGGUCUUAGCUUGCUAAGGCCGAUGGCGACCGGCGCACGGGUGAGUAACGCGUAUCCAACCUGCCUUACACUCUUGGACAGCCUUCUGAAAGGGAGAUUGAUACAAGAUGUUAUCAUGGGUAAGCAUUUUCGCAUGAUUAAAGGUUUACCGGUGUAAGAUGGGGAUGUCG